GACAUUACCGAGUUUACAACUCCCAAACCCAAUGUGAACGUUACCAAACUGUUGCCUCGGCGGGAUCUCUGCCCCGGGUGCGUCGCAGCCCCGGACCAAGGCGCCCGCCGGAGGACCAACCAAAACUCUUAUUGUAUACCCCCUCGCGGGUUUUUUUAUAAUCUGAGCCUUCUCGGCGCCUCUCGUAGGCGUUUCGAAAAUGAAUCAAAACUUUCAACAACGGAUCUCUUGGUUCUGGCAUCGAUGAAGAACGCAGCGAAAUGCGAUAAGUAAUGUGAAUUGCAGAAUUCAGUGAAUCAUCGAAUCUUUGAACGCACAUUGCGCCCGCCAGUAUUCUGGCGGGCAUGCCUGUCCGAGCGUCAUUUCAACCCUCGAACCCCUCCGGGGGGUCGGCGUUGGGGAUCGGCCCUGCCUUGGCGGUGGCCGUCUCCGAAAUACAGUGGCGGUCUCGCCGCAGCCUCUCCUGCGCAGUAGUUUGCACACUCGCAUCGGGAGCGCGGCGCGUCCACAGCCGUUAAACACCCAACUUCUGAAAUGUUGACCUCGGAUCAGGUAGGAAUACCCGCUGAACUUAAGCAUAUCAAUAAGCGGAGGAAAAAAAAA
rnacentral:rRNA from 1 species